rnacentral:rRNA from 1 species
CAGUAGCCGCGGGAAUACGUAGGUGGCAAGCGUUGUCCGGAAUUAUUGGGCGUAAAGGGCUCGCAGGCGGUUUCUUAAGUCUGGUGUGAAAGCCCCCGGCUCAACCGGGGAGGGUCAUUGGAAACUGGGAAACUUGAGUGCGGAAGAGGAGAGUGGAAUUCCACGUGUAGCGGUGAAAUGCGUAGAGAUGUGGAGGAACACCAGUGGCGAAGGCGACUCUCUGGUCUGUAACUGACGCUGAGGAGCGAAAGCGUGGGGAGCGAACAGGAUUAGAUACCCCAGUAGUCCCUGUCUCUUAUAC